rnacentral:rRNA from 1 species
GCGGCAACAGCUCAAAUUUGAAAUCUGGCGCUUCCAGCGUCCGAGUUGUAAUUUGUAGAGGAUGCUUCUAGGCAGCCACCGGUCUAAGUUCCUUGGAACAGGACGUCAUAGAGGGUGAGAAUCCCGUAUGCGACCGGAGAGGCGCCUUAUACGUAGCUCCUUCGACGAGUCGAGUUGUUUGGGAAUGCAGCUCUAAAUGGGAGGUAAAUUUCUUCUAAAGCUAAAUAUUGGCCAGAGACCGAUAGCGCACAAGUAGAGUGAUCGAAAGAUGAAAAGCACUUUGGAAAGAGAGUUAAAAAGCACGUGAAAUUGUUGAAAGGGAAGGGAUUGCAACCAGACUUGCUCGCGGUGUUCCGCCGGUCUUCUGACCGGUCUACUCGCCGCGUUGCAGGCCAGCAUCGUCUGGUGCCGCUGGAUAAGACUUUGGGAAUGUAGCUCCCUCGGGAGUGUUAUAGCCCUUAGUGAUGCAGCGCGCGCCGGGCGAGGUCCGCGCUUCGGCUAGGAUGCUGGCGUAAUGGUCGUAAUCCGCCCGUCUUGAAACACGGACCAAGGAGUCUAACAUCUAUGCGAGUGUUCGGGUGUCAAACCCCUACGCGUAAUGAAAGUGAACGGAGGUGGGAACCGCAAGGUGCACCAUCGACCGAUCCUGAUGUCUUCGGAUGGAUUUGAGUAAGAGCAUAGCUGUUGGGACCCGAAAGAUGGUGAACUAUGCCUGAAUAGGGUGAAGCCAGAGGAAACUCUG